CUGGCGGCGUGCCUAAUACAUGCAAGUCGAACGAGUUCUGAUUAUUGAAAGGUGCUUGCAUCUUGAUUUAAUUUUGAACGAGUGGCGGACGGGUGAGUAACACGUGGGUAACCUGCCCUUAAGUGGGGGAUAACAUUUGGAAACAGAUGCUAAUACCGCAUAAAUCCAAGAACCGCAUGGUUCUUGGCUGAAAGAUGGCGUAAGCUAUCGCUUUUGGAUGGACCCGCGGCGUAUUAGCUAGUUGGUGAGGUAACGGCUCACCAAGGCAAUGAUACGUAGCCGAACUGAGAGGUUGAUCGGCCACAUUGGGACUGAGACACGGCCCAAACUCCUACGGGAGGCAGCAGUAGGGAAUCUUCCACAAUGGACGCAAGUCUGAUGGAGCAACGCCGCGUGAGUGAAGAAGGCUUUCGGGUCGUAAAACUCUGUUGUUGGAGAAGAAUGGUCGGCAGAGUAACUGUUGUCGGCGUGACGGUAUCCAACCAGAAAGCCACGGCUAACUACGUGCCAGCAGCCGCGGUAAUACGUAGGUGGCAAGCGUUAUCCGGAUUUAUUGGGCGUAAAGCGAGCGCAGGCGGUUUUUUAAGUCUGAUGUGAAAGCCCUCGGCUUAACCGAGGAAGUGCAUCGGAAACUGGGAAACUUGAGUGCAGAAGAGGACAGUGGAACUCCAUGUGUAGCGGUGAAAUGCGUAGAUAUAUGGAAGAACACCAGUGGCGAAGGCGGCUGUCUGGUCUGUAACUGACGCUGAGGCUCGAAAGCAUGGGUAGCGAACAGGAUUAGAUACCCUGGUAGUCCAUGCCGUAAACGAUGAAUGCUAGGUGUUGGAGGGUUUCCGCCCUUCAGUGCCGCAGCUAACGCAUUAAGCAUUCCGCCUGGGGAGUACGACCGCAAGGUUGAAACUCAAAGGAAUUGACGGGGGCCCGCACAAGCGGUGGAGCAUGUGGUUUAAUUCGAAGCAACGCGAAGAACCUUACCAGGUCUUGACAUCUUUUGAUCACCUGAGAGAUCAGGUUACCCCUUCGGGGGCAAAAUGACAGGUGGUGCAUGGUUGUCGUCAGCUCGUGUCGUGAGAUGUUGGGUUAAGUCCCGCAACGAGCGCAACCCUUAUGACUAGUUGCCAGCAUUUAGUUGGGCACUCUAGUAAGACUGCCGGUGACAAACCGGAGGAAGGUGGGGAUGACGUCAAAUCAUCAUGCCCCUUAUGACCUGGGCUACACACGUGCUACAAUGGAUGGUACAACGAGUUGCGAGACCGCGAGGUCAAGCUAAUCUCUUAAAGCCAUUCUCAGUUCGGACUGUAGGCUGCAACUCGCCUACACGAAGUCGGAAUCGCUAGUAAUCGCGGAUCAGCACGCCGCGGUGAAUACGUUCCCGGGCCUUGUACACACCGCCCGUCACACCAUGAGAGUUUGUAACACCCGAAGCCGGUGGCGUAACCCUUUUAGGGAGCGAGCCGUCUAAGGUGGGACAAAUGAUU
rnacentral:rRNA from 1 species